GAGGAGUUAGUUAAAUAUAUAACUUUACUUUGUCAAGGUAAAAUCAUAAGUUAAACUCUUAUGCCCCUCU
rnacentral:tRNA from 1 species